ACUGCAUCGUUUCACAGGCCGUUCAAAGCGUCUCACCCUGCGUUCCAUUCGGAAGGGCUCACCCCUACAUGCCCUAAUCCCUUCAAAGGGUGUGGCCAAAGGUUUCAUUGGUGCAAGAUUUCAGAUGCAACCCAGUCAGUUCUUCCAAGGCACCAAACACUGGCACGUGACCAGACAGCUCCACUGCAACUGUGUGUACUUUCAAGUAUAGGAGUUUAUUGUUCUCAUUCCAGUCACUGUAGCCACCAGAUCCAGUCUGAAUCCAGAUCAGAUGGUGGAUCAGAACCUAGAGAUGACCUCGGCAGCCCUGAAUGUCAGCGGAGACCAUGUCAGCUAGAUGAGCUCCAGAGACAGAUCCCCUGCAAAGACCCCUUCAGCCAUCGGGACAAGACCACGAGAACCAGACAAGUCCUCUGCUCAAUCUGAGCUGUGUUGCAGCCUAGAAUUAAACCACGCCAUGCUGGUUUCGUCUGGCCAGAGGAGAACUGCCUGCCCAACUGUACCUGGUUGCUCCCAAGGUUUUCUACCCAAUCUCUGUCACCGAUGGAGUUUUGGGUCUUUGCCGCUGUCACCUUUGGCUUGCUUAUUUGGGGACGCUUGGCUGACUACACAGACAUUAUUGGGAGAGAUCUGAACUGGAUGAUGCCAACACUGAAUCACCAAUGAACUGACUUUAACUGGAAAAAUGACAUGUUAAUAUCCUCUUGCAUUAUUGACAAACUAUUUUCCUGUUUGACUCUGUAAAGCUGCUUUGACACAAUCAGUAUUGUAUAAAGCGCUAUAUAAAAAAGGUGACUUGAUUUGUUUUUAUAUACUGUAAGCCUGUAAAAUGGUCACGAGUGGGCUUAUCUGGCCCAUUAGCUGCUGAGGACUUCAUUGCAAUGUUUGAAAAGGAAUGUCGGUGAUGGAAAAAGGACAAACUCCAGGUAUCUUAUGAAAUUAUGCGAGAGUCCUUAACUGUGUAUCAAAAUGUUGUAAAAACUGCUAGGUCUAAGUAUUUCUCUGAGCAAAUUACUAAGAACUCUAAUAGUUCUAGAACCCUGUUUAAUAUACUUAAAUCUGUGACCAAUCCUAUAAAUAAUAUCUAUCUUUCUGAAUCGGUAACUUUGUGCAAAAACUUCCUUAAUUUGUUUGUUGAUAAAGUAACUGAUAUUAGGCAAUCCAUUGUAUUUCCAUUUGAAGCAUUAUCUGUUUCCUUGACUACUACUGAGUUCUUAGACUCUUUUGAGCCAAUCACUAUGCCCUGUUUAAUGGAUAUAGUCACAAAGUUGAAGGUUACUACUUCCUCUCUGGAUAUUGUUCCCACACAUUUCUUUAAAUGACGAGGAUUUUAGAAAUUGUAAAUAAGAGUUUUCUCACUGGCUCUGUUCCGAGCUUUUGUAAACAUGCUUUGGUAAGACCGAUCUUGAAAAAGCCCAAUUUGGACACAACUGUUUUAACUAAUUUCAGACCUAUUUCUAAUUUACCUUUUAUAUGAAAAUUUUUUGAGAAAUCAGCACUUUGGCAAUUACAAAUUUUUUUGGACACACAGUAUUUUUGAGACAAUUCAGUCUGGUUUUAGGAAAAAUCAUAGCACUGAGUCUGCCUUACUAAGAUUAUUAAAUGACAUUCUGUUAUCGAUUGACUCGGGGGAUUCAGUUAUUCUAGUUUUAUUGGACCUGAGUGCUGCAUUUGAUACAGUUGACCACACCAUUCUUAUUUCACGUCUUGAACAAUGUGUUGGUAUUUGAGACCAAGCCUAAAGCUGGUUUAAAUCCUUCCUUUGUGAUAGAACUUUCUCAGUGGGCAUAGGAAAUGUGCUUUCUUCAGUUGCUCCUCUGACUUGUGGUGUUCCCCAAGGAUCCAUUCUUGCCCCAACCCUGUUUUCUUUGUAUAUGCUUCCACUAGGUAAUAUUAAGAAACAUGGAGUGUCAUUUUAUUUUUUAUGCAGAUGAUACACAAAUAUAUCCGUCUCUGAAGCAAAAACACACAAAAAGUUUGGGAAAUCUGCUUGCAUGUCUUGAGGAUAUUAGAUCUUGGAUGUCUUCAAAUUUCUUAUCCUUAAUUUAUAGUAAAACAGAAAUCAAAAGCAUAAUCUGGGAUAUCUGAACUCCUUCAUUAAGCCUACUGUGAAAAAUUAGGAGUCCUCUUUGAUACCUCCUUAAAUUUUGAUCGACAGAUUAACACAGUAGUGAAGUCAAGUUUUUACCAUUUAAAACUUCUCUCUAGAGUUAAGUCUUGGCUAUCAUUUAAAGAUCUUGAGAGAGCCAUGCAUGCCCUAGUUUUAGCACGUUUGGAUUAUUGUAAUUCUUUAUAUGUUGGUUUACCCCAGUCUUCUGUAUUACUAGGUUUCUAACUCGCAAACGAGAGCAUAUUACUCGGAUUUUAAAGACUCUAAAUUGGUUACCAGUGCGUUAUAAAAUUGACUUUAAGAUAUUGAUAUUUGUUUUUAAAUCCCUAAAUGACCUGGCACCCUCUUAUCUGUCUGACCUAUUAAAAGAAAAUAAGCCAACAAGAUGUCUGAGAUCAACAAUAAAGCACUCCUUGGCUCAGCCUAGAUCACGGUUAAAGACAAGAGGUGAUUGUGCAUUUGCAAUAGUUGGACCGAGGUUAUGGAAUAACAUUCCUUCAUCCGUAAAAGUUCUGUCUAUGAGUUUAAAACUAAGUUGAAAUCAUAUUUUCUCAAUUUGACUAAUUAUUAUUUAUGUUUUUUUCUGUAUUUUACUGAUCUUCUUUCUGGCUUUUUAUUCUAUUUGUACAGCACUAUGGUCAACUGCUGUUGUGUUUAUCAGUGCUUAAUAAAUACAUGAAUGA